rnacentral:rRNA from 1 species
CCUACGGGUGGCAGCAGUGAGGAAUAUUGGUCAAUGGCCGUAAGGCUGAACCAGCCAUGCCGCGUGAAGGAAGAAGGAUCUAUGGUUUGUAAACUUCUUUUAUAGGGGAAUAAAGGUAUCCACGUGUGGAUAUUUGCAUGUACCCUAUGAAUAAGCAUCGGCUAACUCCGUGCCAGCAGCCGCGGUAAUACGGAGGAUGCGAGCGUUAUCCGGAUUUAUUGGGUUUAAAGGGUGCGUAGGUUGUUUUUUAAGUCAGAGGUGAAAGUUUGUGGCUCAACCAUAGAAUUGCCGUUGAUACUGGAAGGCUAGAGUGUGGUUGAGGUAGGCGGAAUGCGUGGUGUAGCGGUGAAAUGCAUAGAUAUCACGCAGAACUCCGAUUGCGAAGGCAGCUUACUAAGCCAUAACUGACACUGAAGCACGAAAGCGUGGGGAGCAAACAGGAUUAGAUACCCUGGUAGUC